CGGUUUACCACCCAGAAUCCACCCCCUUGACUUUUGGUGAGGAUCUGGAUCAAGGAAACGACGCAGGAGUGUUUUUCUCACUUUCUUUAAUAUUAUAAAAUAGAUUGUUUUUCAGCUUUUUGUCAGUUUCACUGGAGAAUGAACCUCGAUGAAAAGAAUCACACAGAUUUAGGUGACUGGUGUCUAUGAAUGAGUGCACAAAGUGACUGUUUGGCCUUGGCAGAGGUUUGCUCUCUACUGAGUGCUAUUCUAGUGUUUUUUUGUUUUUUAGGGCAGAGUUUUGUCCCCAUUCUCCUGACGAUUAAAUACAACUUGCAACUCAGAAUAAUAAUUGUGGGUAGUAGACAGCAGAAUUAUGAACAAAACAUGAGAAAGUGUUCCAGACUUCACCAACUUUCAGAGAUACUUUGCGUUGGUGGAAACUAAAUCUCUGUUGUCAUGCCAUCCAUCCAUCCAUCCAUCCAUCCAUCCAUCCAUCCAUCCAUCCAUCCUCGGCUGCUUCCCUGCAGUAAUUGCUGCACAGGGUGGUUCGGCAGGAGGCUUUUGCUUCCUCUGACUGGGAUAGAGGAUAAGAGGCGCCAGCCUGCCUUUAGGGCUUUAAGGCUUCCACAAAUCUGUCUCUUCUCUGCCUUUGAAAUAAGACACCCUCCCUCGGCUGACUACAGACCACCAGCAAUCACUCGGCGAGGUGUCAGGGACCCCUGCCGAGCAAACCGAAGAGACCGCAGACCUUCGGGGUGUCAGGUUUGAAUGAAAUGCCAGGCCCGGAUGGCGCUGGAAAUAUUCAGAGGGAUGUAAAGAGAGUGUUUUCAUUUUUCAGGUGGCAGGAGAGCGUUAGUGACGGAGCAGCAUGAAACGUGACGUAAAGGAAAGAAAGAAGGCUUCAAGGAGCAGCGGGCGCGAUGAAACAGGCGAAAGCGAGUAAAAUUUGAACAAGAGAUCCGGCGGCUGCUCCCUCGAGAUGCUGUUUUCCUCGCAGGAUCAGGUGAAGCACUGACAGGACAAAUCGAGCCAGUUGGCAUGCCGAGUAAUCGCAGUGAAAGAGACGUUCAUAGGGAACCAAUCUAUAGGAAUUUCUAAUUUUCCCCACCAGGAAUUUCAACGUCGUCUCAGAACUGGAAGCUUUUCUUCAAAGAACCCUCAGAACUUGUUGGGGGUCCAGAGACGGCUCCUUGGGGAACUCCCUCCCUACCUUUGAACAAACCCUGAAGUCUUCAGCCGCGUUUUUCAUUCACAUCCUCCAGGAAAGACUUCUGGCUUGAGGAGGGGAACGAUUCCACGAGCACGUCCUCCUCGAAGGGAAAAAUCGAUCCUCCAUUCAUCUUGAGGCUUUUUCUUUUUUUUUUGGUACUGCAGCAAAAACAACAACAACAACAAAAAAAAACCUCUACGAGAGUUUGGGAGGUGUUGCAGUGAUAAUCAAUUUGGGUUUUCUAUAGCGGAGCAGAGACUAAUGAGGAACACAUCUGCAGCACCGCGGGGAUCACUUUUAUUAAUGCUAUCGCAUCUGCAGCCUCUCCGACAACGCACAGCUUGGCCGUGCAUCAGCGCUUACUCAGGUGAAGUCGUUAGAAACAGCAACAGAAAUCAUUCGACUCCCUGCUUUUCCUUUUUUUUUGUUUUCUAGCUUUCAUAGAGCCACAGUGCUGCUGUCGGGUGAGAACCUUAAUCUACAUAACAUUGAGUUUUGAGGAUGUAUGCCUUGUUUUAGGCUGAUAUUAAUGCACUGACUCUGUGUUUUUAUGACCAAAGACAAAGAAAAGAAGAA